CAGUAGCCGCGGUAAUACAGAGGAUGCAAGCGCUAUCCGGAAUGAUUGGGCGUAAAGCGUCUGUAGGUGGCUUUUCAAGUCCGCCGUCAAAUCCCGGGGCUCAACCCCGGAACUGCCUUUGAUACUGGGAGUCCUGAGUUCGAGAGAGGUGAGUGGAAUUGCGAGUGUAGAGGUGAAAUUCGUAGAUAUUCGCAGGAACACCAGUGGCGAAGGCGGCUCACUGGCUCGAUACUGACGCUGAGGUACGAAAGCUAGGGGAGCAAAUGGGAUUAGAUACCCCCGUAGUCCCUGUCUCUUAUAC
rnacentral:rRNA from 1 species